GACGAACGCUGGCGGCGUGCUUAACACAUGCAAGUCGAACGGAAAGGCCCUGCUUUUGUGGGGUGCUCGAGUGGCGAACGGGUGAGUAACACGUGAGUAACCUGCCCUUGACUUUGGGAUAACUUCAGGAAACUGGGGCUAAUACCGGAUAGGAGCUCCUGCUGCAUGGUGGGGGUUGGAAAGUUUCGGCGGUUGGGGAUGGACUCGCGGCUUAUCAGCUUGUUGGUGGGGUAGUGGCUUACCAAGGCUUUGACGGGUAGCCGGCCUGAGAGGGUGACCGGCCACAUUGGGACUGAGAUACGGCCCAGACUCCUACGGGAGGCAGCAGUGGGGAAUAUUGCACAAUGGGCGGAAGCCUGAUGCAGCAACGCCGCGUGCGGGAUGACGGCCUUCGGGUUGUAAACCGCUUUCGCCUGUGACGAAGCGUGAGUGACGGUAAUGGGUAAAGAAGCACCGGCUAACUACGUGCCAGCAGCCGCGGUGAUACGUAGGGUGCGAACGUUGUCCGGAUUUAUUGGGCGUAAAGGGCUCGUAGGUGGUUGAUCGCGUCGGAAGUGUAAUCUUGGGGCUUAACCCUGAGCGUGCUUUCGAUACGGGUUGACUUGAGGAAGGUAGGGGAGAAUGGAAUUCCUGGUGGAGCGGUGGAAUGCGCAGACAUCAGGAGGAACACCAGUGGCGAAGGCGGUUCUCUGGGCCUUUCCUGACGCUGAGGAGCGAAAGCGUGGGGAGCGAACAGGCUUAGAUACCCUGGUAGUCCACGCUGUAAACGGUGGGUACUAGGUGUGGGGUCCAUUCCACGGGUUCCGUGCCGUAGCUAACGCUUUAAGUACCCCGCCUGGGGAGUACGGCCGCAAGGCUAAAACUCAAAGGAAUUGACGGGGCCCCGCACAAGCGGCGGAGCAUGCGGAUUAAUUCGAUGCAACGCGUAGAACCUUACCUGGGUUUGACAUGGAUCGGGAGUGCUCAGAGAUGGGUGUGCCUCUUUUGGGGUCGGUUCACAGGUGGUGCAUGGCUGUCGUCAGCUCGUGUCGUGAGAUGUUGGGUUAAGUCCCGCAACGAGCGCAACCCUUGUUCACUGUUGCCAGCACGUUAUGGUGGGGACUCAGUGGAGACCGCCGGGGUCAACUCGGAGGAAGGUGGGGAUGACGUCAAGUCAUCAUGCCCCUUAUGUCCAGGGCUUCACGCAUGCUACAAUGGCUGGUACAGAGAGUGGCGAGCCUGUGAGGGUGAGCGAAUCUCGGAAAGCCGGUCUCAGUUCGGAUUGGGGUCUGCAACUCGACCUCAUGAAGUCGGAGUCGCUAGUAAUCGCAGAUCAGCAACGCUGCGGUGAAUACGUUCCCGGG
rnacentral:rRNA from 1 species